rnacentral:rRNA from 1 species
UCUGGCGGCUUUAGCGCGGUGGUCCCACCUGACCCCAUGCCGAACUCAGAAGUGAAACGCCGUAGCGCCGAUGGUAGUGUGGGGUCUCCCCAUGUGAGAGGCCAGACAUCAAAC